rnacentral:rRNA from 1 species
AACGAACGCUGGCGGCAGGCUUAACACAUGCCAGUCGAGCGCCCCGCCAGGGGAGCGGCAGACGGGUGAGUAACGCGUGGGAACGUACCUUUUGGUUCGGAACAACUCCGGGAAACUGGAGCUAAUACCGGAUAAGCCCUAACGGGGAAAGAUUUAUCGCCGAAAGAUCGGCCCGCGUCUGAUUAGCUAGUUGGUGAGGUAACGGCUCACCAAGGCGACGAUCAGUAGCUGGUCUGAGAGGAUGAUAAGCCACACUGGGACUGAGACACGGCCCAGACUCCGACGGGAGGGAGCAGUGGGGAAUAUUGGAAAAUGGGCGCAAGGCUGAUCCAGCCAUGCCGGGUGAGUGAUGAAGGCAUUAGGGUUGUAAAGCUCUUUUGUCCGGGAAGAUAAUGACUGUACCGGAAGAAUAAGCCCCGGCUAACUUCGUG